rnacentral:tRNA from 1 species
GUCCUUGUAGCGCAAUGGAUAGUGCUAAGACUUCUAAUUUAAAAGUCGUGGGUUAAAAUCCCACCUAGGAUG